rnacentral:rRNA from 1 species
UACGGGGGGGGCAAGCGUUGUUCGGAAUUACUGGGCGUAAAGGGCUCGUAGGUGGCCAACUAAGUCAGACGUGAAAUCCCUCAGCUUAACUGGGGAACUGCGUCUGAUACUGGAUGGCUUGAGUAUGGAAGAGGUUGAUGGAAUUUCAGGUGUAGCAGUGAAAUGCGUAGAUAUCUGAAAGAACACCAGUGGCGAAGGCGGUCAACUGGUCCAUUACUGACACUAAAGCACGAAAGCGUGGGUAGCGAACAGG